rnacentral:lncRNA from 1 species
CUAGAUUAACUCAACACAAAAUCCCAACACAUGUCAAGAAUCACAUUCCAUUAUUCCUUUGAAUUACUCUGUAGAUGGCCUCAAUUCACCUUUAAAAGCGGGUUGGUCCCUCCCACCAGCUCCAUGGGAACCGUGACUUUUUGACAACAGUAUGGACGAACCGAAAGGCAAAGGAGGAUUAAAGUGACAGAGCGCAUGGACACGCCUGCUGGUGACAUCGGCUCUUGGUGUGGUUACAUCGUUCCGUGUCGUCAGUGGCGAACCGAACUGCAGUCUGUCCUACACAGUUUUGACGGAUAAUUGCGUCUACUCUCACCUUUACUUAAAGAACACUUUGCUUGUCAUUUUGCAUCAAAGCAACAGAGAUGUAAAGCAAUUUACAAUACCGCAGCUUCCUCUUCAUUUGAUAUGCAGUUACUGACAUAACCAGGAGCGCUGAAGUGAGAGUGCAAGGGGGAAGAUGGACGUCCAGACUGGCAUCCAGCAGGCAGCGGAGCCCCUCCCCGCUUCCCUCCAUCAGCCCGGGACCUGUCAGCACAGUGAGCUAGGGGACAGCCAGACAGGGGGAGACGCCAGGCCCCCUGCUGACGACCACAGCAAGGAGACUCAGCCAGCCGCAGGCCAGCGUGACGACAAAAAGCCCAGUGCAGCGGUGAGAGGACACCCCAGCAGUAAGACAGUCGUAAGCUCAGCAGGCUCCCAGUGGACCAGCGGUGGUCAGGGCCUCUGGAGUGGCUACUCUGUCUCCUACCCCAGCGCUAGCCUGCACUACCCAGCCCACCACCACCCCCAUCACCAUCAACACGCCAACUACGCCUACUGCCAGGGCCAACCCGCAGUGAGUACUCUCCGAAGAAAAUCGUACUGUUUAGUACUGCUCACUCUGAACUCUCAAU